rnacentral:lncRNA from 1 species
UAUAAACUUGAAAAAAAUAAAACAAUUUGACAUACGUUUUUAAAAAAAAAAAAUUAGUAUGUUAUUUUUAUUAGGCACGGCCCACGGCACAGCACCUGUGGUAGGCCACGCCUAAAUAAAAAAAAUAAACAUGACACGAUACAGUAUGAAGCGCAUAAUGAAUACAGUACGACACAAAUAUGAGUAGGGUUUCUUUGAUGGGCGUGGGCCGGCGUGGCAUGAGCCGUUGGCCACCUCUGGUUUCAUCCACAUCCUUUUGGAAGAUACCAUCGAUCCAUUUGUAGAGGUUACGAAAGAAAGUGAUACUUUAUGCUCCUGCAGUUUUGAGUGUAGGAUAUGUAUAAAAGUAAUUGCUGUUUUCAAUAAAUUAAUUUACUCCUGAGGAUUAAAAAUGUAUGAACUAAUGGUUAGAAAAAUACAACCCGAUCCUGCCACGUGCCAAAGCUUGAUUGCUUGUGAUGAUGGCGGGUUGGACAAUAAAUACAUAAAGAUAGAUAUACAAAUAUGUUCCGAUUAUGAAGGCGGGUUAACAUUCUCCACCUGGAUGGAAUACAGAAAUAAUCAUCAUCUCUUCCAAGUUCCAAGAAAAAGACGUAACAAGCGUCAACAAAGAGACGUGGCAAGCGUCAACAAGUCGCUCUGAUUAAAUAAAUGCUAUUACGACCACCUCAAUUGCAAUGCAGUUGGUUGGUCAUUGUCCGUCAAUCGAGCGAUAAAACUGAGAUUUACAUGAUUUGAUCUGUAGUAUAAGUGUCUAACUGAGGCUCAUUCAUUGAAUAGUGACACAGAGCAAUAAAUUCUCGUACAGAUAUAUAUUUACAUAAAUUGAUAUAGAUUAAAUUUACUAAUUCAAUAAAAAUAAAUAAUGUAAGUUAGAAAUUAUUUAAUCUAACUAAUUGAAUUAUAUUAGAGUUGUAUAAAAAUUUUUGUAAUUUUAUCUUUAUUUUUCAUUGGAAUUGUUAAUUUAUUGGGUUGACCAAACAAAACUUAUUUAGAAAAUCAAAUACUCUCAUAGAUCUCCUAUUAUUAUUUGAGAAUUAUCAUCCCCUCCCUUCAAAAAUUUUCUGAUGGAAAUGAGGAAGAGACAGAGACAUAUACAAAAUAUUAAGAAUGAGAACGAGAGUGUUGAUCCCCUCCCUUCCCCUCCCCAUUGUCAUCCCUAUGUCCAAUAUAUCUCCAUCAAUAUAUAUUAUGAUUAGUUCUUAUGUGAAGAAGGAAAAAGAUUGCAAUUAUAUGUAAAAAGUUGGCUGGAGUCUUUAAUGUGAAUAAUUCUUAGGGUAGAACAAUUUGAACCCAUAAAAAUUCUUUCAACACCCACUUUUUUUAAUUAAAAUAAUUAUAAGUUAUAUCCUAUUGUUUUAAUUCAUUAAUUCUCAUAAAUUACAAAAUUACCCUUGAUCAAAUACUUUCUCUCUCUACUAUAACAAUGUUCAAAACAUAAAAUAGUUUCACUCUAUUUCAAUUUUUUUUUAUUCUUUCUUAGUAAAUCAACUUAUCUUUUUCUUAGUUUUCUCUACAACAUGAUCAGUUUUUACCUAUUAUUACUAUUUAGAGGCUGUACUUCUAAGAUUUGACCCAAAAAAAAAAAAAAUUCUAAUAGAUUUAAAGUGAUGUAGAAAUAGGGAUGGCAAUGGGGAGGGGAGGGGAGAUGACCAAUCUCCCCGUACUCAUCCCCGAUAUUUUGCGUAUGUCCCCGUCCCCUCUCCAUCCCUGUCAAAAUUAUUUAAGAGAAUCUCCAUCCCCUCCCCGAAUAAUAACAGGGGAUCCCCGAGGGUCCCCGAUCCCCGAAUAACUAAUAUAUUUUUUUUUGUUUUCGAUUUUAAGUUAAUCAUAUUAAAAUUCAAAUAAAAGUAAAGUUCGAAAUAUAUUUUACAUUAGUAUCCAUUACAAAAGUCACAUACAUUAAAUUAGUAAGUAACGUAGCAUACAAUGGAUACAAACUAUCAUGAACAAAUUAAUAGCCUAAUACAAAAUUGUUACAAAUAAAAUUAAAUUUAGAUUCAAAAUUAACUUUUCAAUGGUGGCGUGGGCAUUUUAUAAAUGUGGACUAUUCCCUUUACAGCACAAUAGUUAAGUCAAAGCAAAUCAAGAGCAAAUAUUAUAUUAGAUUAGAUAUUAAAAUUGUGAUUUGCUGUGAGCAAUUAUAACAUCUAAAAAUAAAUAAAAAAAUAGAUUUAAGUUUAAAAUAUUUAAUGAAUAUUCAAAUUAAAACAAAAGUUUUGGGCUAAUAGAAUCUGUUCGGUCUUUUUAAUGUCCUAAAUAAAAAUUUAGGACUUUAAUUAAUUAAUUAGGCCUAAAAGUUUAAUAAUAU